GUCUUAUUCAUAAUAAAAUGCUAAUAUAGGUUUAAAACCUACAUUAGCUAAAACGUUUGAUAGGCUUAAAACACUCUUAUAAACCUCUGAUAAAAAACGUUAUUCAUAAUCGUUUACAAACCUUUGAUAGCUAAAACAGAGUUUAAUAUUUUCUUUCCACAGACUAUACAAAAAGAAUGAACGAAAACAGCUUUUUUGGUGAUUUAACUUGAUGGACCAUGUAAAAUCAUAGACAAAUCGCAGAAAAAAAAAACAAAAAAUUGGCAGCUGUGACGUUUUACUUACUGACAUUGACAUUUGGCACGAAAAUUUAAUAAAGUUUUCGGUUUUUUCGAUCAACUCCCAAGUUUUAUCAAACUUUUAUAAAACUUGGGAUUGUAUGUUCUGGAUUCUGUACCUCUUACCCUGUACUCUGCAAUAAGCUCUUACGACGACCCGGCUAGUUACAUCGGAUACUAAUUAUGUCCAUGACGAAGGAGAACAGACCGCCUAAAAGGCAACGAUCAGAAAACUGGUUGGAGGAAGAUAAGUGUUUGCUUUUCAGUAUUUGCUGAAAGAGUUGGUGAAAGAAAGAGUAAAUGCAAUCGAAAAUAAAAAUACAGACACUAACACGAAUAAACGGAAGGUUGCGGCUUGGGCUGAUUUACAAACAACGUUUAAUUCAAUGUGCGCUGGUAUGAACCGCUCCAUUACCCAGUUAAAAUCGCAAUGGAGCCUCAUAAAAAUCAGUGCGAAGAAAGACAAGACCAUUGCUAGGCAGGCUCAAAUUAAAACUGGCGGUGGUCCACCAUUAUCAGUGCCUGACGAUAGGGCUGAUGAUAUAGCAUCUUGGUUGCCCAAUGAAUUUGUAGUCGAUGUUAACAGAUUUGACUCGGACUCAAAUAAAAGUGAAUUAAUUAACAUUCAAGAGGAGGAAUCAACUCAAAAUACGCAAGAUCAGGAAUUGAUAAAUAAUGAAGAAAUCCAAUAUGAAUUGGUGGUACUUGAUGAAGAAAUAGAAGAUACACAUGCUUGUACUACUAGAGGCAUAUUGGAAGAUAAAGAAAAUAAAAAAGUAGAGGCAAAAGAAAAUAAAGCAAAACCUAAUUUUAAAGCACCAGCAAUCAAAAAAAAAAGGAAACUGUUAAACAAAGAAGGCUUAAUUGAUUUAAGCAAAGUUAGGAUUUCCGAAAUUGCAGAAACAGAAUCAAAAUGCCGGAUUGAACUGCAUGAAGUUCAAAUGGAAAACGAACGGAAGAAAGGGAGAAACUUGGAUCUUGAGCAUCAAUUAUUACAGGAAAAACUUAAAUAUUACACUCACAUUAAUAAAGAAUAAUAAGUCUUUUGAUGUUAAAGUUUUUCAAGUACUAACAGAUUCUAAAUAAUAAGUUAGUUCCUCCCUUACUUCUGUUUGUUUUUAAUUUGUAUUUUAUGCAGUUCCAAUCCGCAUUUUGAUUGUGUUUCUGCAAUAUAUUUAGACGGCUAUGAAUAUGUUUACUAGUCAUAACUUAAUAAGAGUUUGAGAUUACUAUUAACUAGCUGUUGCCCACGACUCCGCCUGCGUAGACUACUAUUUCUGUAACCUACAGGAUCUGUGCAUUUUUCCAGGAUAAAAAGAAGCCUAUAUGUUAUUCGAGACUAUAUAAUCUAUCUGUUUUAGCAAUUUAUUUGUUUAUAAGAAUUGAACUGUGAUUUUUAGUAAGUAAGUUUAAUAAUUGUACUUAAAUUAGUGAUAUAAAGUAAAUACACAUAUGCCUAGUCACAAACAUUCGCCUUUAUAAUAAUAGUGUAAAUUAUGGUUAUUUUGUUUUAAAUGUAGAAGGUUGAUAACCUCCGAAUAGAAACGUUUAUACUUAAGCAAUUUCUU